rnacentral:snoRNA from 1 species
AAGACCACCUACCCUGACCUAAAGCAAAUUCCCGGGAGAAUUUGCAGUAACAGGUGUGAACAUUCUAGAAGCAGUUUGAUGAUCAUGUAUGAUACUACGAACAAGA